GAAAACGAUGUCUGUAUUCUGAUGAUUUGAUAUGUACAACUGCAGCACAGGCUUUGCUCAGUAUGAGAUGUUACAAGGAACAAGAUAUUAUGGACGCCAUUAAAUUGUUUGUAGCAGAAAAAGAUACACUAGAAUUCACUGCAACAGAUAUUUUACCAGUUUUACUUAACAGCUCGUGUAGAUGAAACUAUGUUCUGAACGAAGAAAAGGUAUAGGAGUAAUUCCAACUCAAAUGACUCGGAAGUUUCUUAGUAUAUUAGUCAAUACUCAGAAACGAAGACAGUGACAGUACUACCAGUAAUGACAGAAAAUCGAAAA